UGGAAUAUGAUAUUAAACAGUAGUAGACUCAGUGUUUGGUUUGUUGGUGGUCUCACGUAGAGAAAAAUCAAUUUCAUGAUCGGUUUCAUCUAAAUUAUUAUUAUCAAUGGUAGAACCAAGAGAAACAAUUUCAUGAUUAGUUUCAUCUAUAUUGAUAUUAUCAAAGAUAGGAUCAGAAGGUGCCUCUGAAGAGUCAACCCGAAC
rnacentral:lncRNA from 1 species